rnacentral:rRNA from 1 species
GGAUUAGAUACCCUGGUAGUCCACGCCGUAAACGAUGUGUACUCGCUGUCAGCCCUUCCGGGGUUGGUGGCCAAGCUAACGCGUUAAGUACACCGCCUGGGGACUACGGCCGCAAGGUUAAAACUCAAAGGAAUUGACGGGGACCCGCACAAGUGGUGGAGCAUGUCGUUUAAUUCGAAGAUACGCGAAGAACCUUACCAGGCCUUAACAUCUACGUCAUACUUUCCAGAAAUGGAUCGGUCAUUUAGUUGGACGUAAGAUAGGUGUUGCAUGGCUGUCGUCAGCUCGUGCUG